AGCGGCAGGCCUAAUACAUGCAAGUCGAGGGGCAGCNCAGGUAGCAAUACUGGGNGGCGACCGGCAAACGGGUGCGGAACACGUACGUAACCUUCCUUUAAGUGGGAGAUAGCCCGAAGAAAUUNGGAUUAAUACCCCAUAAGAUUGUGGAGUGGCAUCACUCAGCAAUUAAAGAAUUUCGCUUAAAGAUGGGCGUGCGGCUGAUUAGGUAGUUGGUGAGGUAACGGCUCACCAAGCCAACGAUCAGUAACUGGCGNGAGAGCGNGACCAGUCACACGGGCANUGAGACACGGGCCCGACUCCUACGGGAGGCAGCAGUAAGGAAUANUGGUCAAUGGACGGAAGUCUGAACCAGCCAUGCCGCGUGAAGGAUGAAGGUCCUNUGGAUUGUAAACUUCUUUUAUAUGGGAAGAAACCACUUUUUUNUAAAGGUGUGACGGUACCAUAGAAUA
rnacentral:rRNA from 1 species